rnacentral:pre_miRNA from 1 species
CAAAUACUCCCUCCAUCCGGAAAUACUUGUCAUCAAAAUGGAUAAAAGGAAAUGUAUCUAGACGUAUUUUAGUUUUAGAUACAUAUCUUUUUAUCCAUUUUGAUGACAAGUAUUUUCGGACGGAGGGAGUAGAAA